GAUGAACGCUAGCGGCAGGCCUAAUACAUGCAAGUCGAACGGUGUCUUCGGACAUAGUGGCGCACGGGUGCGUAACACGUAUGCAACCUACCUUACAUUGGGGGAUAGCCUUUCGAAAGGGAGAUUAAUACCGCAUAAGACAGUAGCUGGGCAUCCAGCAGCUGUUAAAGAUUUAUCGAUGUAAGCUGGGCAUGCGUCCAAUUAGCUAGUUGGUGAGGUAACGGCUCACCAAGGCAAUGAUUGGUAGGGGAACUGAGAGGUCAAUCCCCCACACUGAAACUGAGAUACGGGCCAGACUCCUACGGGAGGCAGCAGUAGGGAAUAUUGGGCAAUGGACGCAAGUCUGACCCAGCCAUGCCGCGUGCAGGAUGAAGGCGUUAUGCGUUGUAAACUGCCUUUAUACAGGAAGAAACGACUCUUGCGAGAGGCAUUGACGGUACUGUAUGAAUAAGCACCGGCUAACUCCGUGCCAGCAGCCGCAGUAAUAC
rnacentral:rRNA from 1 species